rnacentral:tRNA from 9 species
GGGUCGGUCGUAUAAAGGUUAUUACGGAAGGCUGUUAACCUUCUUAUCGUGGUUCGAGUCCACGCUGGCCCGCCA